UGUCAGGUAAAAACUGUAUCUGAUCAAUCUUAUGUUUGACUUUGAUAAUAUAGCCUUUAUGAUAUGCAGCAAAAUUACCUGAUGAUGCUGGUACAGUCAUAGGCCCUUCAAAUCACAACCUCUGCAGAUUUUUUAUUUGAUUUAUUUCACCUUUAUUUAACUAGGCAAGUCAGUUAAGAACAAAUUCUUAUUUACAAUGACGGCCUAUCCCGGCCAAACCCAGACGACGCUGGGCCAAUUGUGCGCCGCCCUAUGGGACUCCCAAUCACAGCCGGAUGUGAUACAGCCUGAAUUCGAACCAGGGACUGUAGUGACGCCUCUUGCACUUUGAUGCAAGAUGCAAGUGCCACUCAGUCUGUCUGCAGGGGUGAAUGUAGUUGAAAAAAUGUCCAUCUCUCCUCAGCCAGGGGUGAAUGUAGUUGAAUAAAGUCCCAUCUCUCCUCAGCCAGGGGUGAAUGUAGUUGAAUAAAGUUCCAUCUCUCCUCAGCCAGGGGUGCAUGUAGUUGAAUAAAGUUCCAUCUCUCCUCAGCCAGGGGUGAAUGUAGUGAAUAAAGUUCCAUCUCUCCUCAGCCAGGGGUGCAUGUAGUUGAAUAAGUUCCAUCUCUCCUCAGCCAGGGGUGAAUGUAGUUGAAUAAAGUUCCAUCUCUCCCUCAGCCAGGGGUGCAUGUAGUUGAAUAAAGUCCCAUCUCUCCUCAGCCAGGGGUGCAUGUAGUUGAAUAAAGUCCCAUCUCUCCUCAACCAGGGGUGCCAGCAUUCACUGAGAGGCAUCCUACUAGGCCCAUGACUGUUCUACCGGACAGAGCAAAGAGACUGGGUGUCCCCUGUGGGUAUGUCCAGAUCUGGAGCAGUAUGAAGUUGGGGCUGACCCUCUGUGUCUGGGCCUGGCUGGACAACAGCAGCGCUGCAAUGCAUCACUUGCCCUGCAGCACAGCAAGACCUGGCUACACUGCUACCAACAGUCUGAUGACCAGCUCACUACCCUAG
rnacentral:lncRNA from 1 species